rnacentral:lncRNA from 1 species
AGAGAGUAGCUGUGGUCUCCUGCGUGCUCACCCUCUGCUCCCUUGGUCCUGCUCCAUGCUUUGGUCCUGCACUUAAAUUUUACAAGCAUACUCUCUUUCUCUUAAGGUAAGCAACCAUUUUAAAUCUCAGCGGUAAACAAAACAAAAAAUCACCAGGAAACUAUAUGAAAUCAGGUUUUUUUGUUUGUUUUUGGUUUUUGGUUUUGGUUUUGUUUUUUUGGUGGUAUUUUUUUUGUUUUUUUGUUUUUUGUUUUUUUGAGAUGGAGUCUUGCUGUGUCACCCAGGAUGGAGUGCAGUGGAGCCAUCUUGGCUCACUGCAACUUCCGCCUCCCAGGUUCAAGCAAUUCUCCUCUCUCAGCCUCCUGAGUAGCUGGGAUUACAGGCACCCACCACCAUGCCUGGCUAAUUUUUGUAUGUUUAGUAGAGAUGGGGUUUCACCAUGUUGGCCAAGCUGGCCUCAAACUCCUGACCUCAAGUGAUCUGCCUGCCUCAGCCUCCCAAGUGCUGGGAUUAUAGGUGUAAGUCACCACGCCUGGCAUCAAAGCAGGUUUUAACCAGCCUUUUUGUCCACUGAUAACAUAAAGGAGGUCAGCAGCAGCUAAGUCCUGUGCCAGAAGAGCUUUCUUGUCCUUUCACACUGCAAGAGAAAUAAUCACUUAGCUAAGAGGCCAAUUUUACCUUUUUUAAAAAAAAAUUUAAAAAUGAGGGCGGGUGCAGUGGCUCACUCCUGUAAUCCCAGCACUUUGGGAGGCCAAGACGGGCAGAUCACUUGAGGUCAGGAGUUCGAGACUAGCCUGGCCAACAUGGUGAAACCCCGUGUCUACUAAAAAUACAAAAAAAUUAGCCAGGUGUGGUGGCGGGCGCCUGUAAUCCCAGCUACUUGGGAGACUGAGGCAGGAGAUUCCCUUGAACCCAGGAGAUGGAGGCUGCAGUGAGCCAAGAGCACACCACUGUACUCCAGCCUGGGCAACAGAGCUGGACUCCGUCUCAAAAAAAAAAAAAAAUUUUUUUAAAUGAGAGCUAUAUCUUAUCAACAAAAUUAACUAUGUUCGUUUUUGGAGUUUUAUUUUUGUAGCAUUUACAGAAAUCUGUUAAGAGCUUCUUAAUUAUAAAAAUGAGUUAAUAACAUAUUUCUCAAAUUGACUUAUCAAUUCGUUGUCAUUGUGGACGAAAUUACUUUAUAAUCAAUUACCAUAAAGAAACCUGAUUUGAUUUCAGCUCACCCUCAAUAUUCAAGGCACUUGGAUUGUUGGUCUCCACCCAUUUAUUAUGUGGUCUACUAAAAAUAGACCACAUCCUAGGAGUUAGCAUUCCAAGAACAGUUUCCACUUAUUACUCACUUCUUGAUAUUUAUGGAACUGCUCAUUUCGCAAAUAUUUCAGCUCUACUCUCCAAUCUUUAGAAGAAAAAAGAAAAUAACAAUAACAACAAUAGAAUUUCAUUCUCUCCAGAGAGUUAGCAAGGAAAUGAGAGCGGAAAGAAAGCAAAUGGGAAGUUAGAAUUGGGGAAAAUGUAAAGCAAAGCCAAAUGUGAAUAGGAAUAGCAGUUGACAAGAGGGGAAAAGAGGGUGCAGAGGACAAAUAUACCAAUAGAAAACAUGUAAACUCAAUAGCAUGCAACCUUUUAAAAAAUAAAUGAUUUAAGUUCAUUUUGAUAGUGGAUAGGACAAGAAUAUUGGCACAUUAUGAAAAGAAACAUGACAAGGUCUUGAAUAAAUUUUAAUGAAAAUAUAUAAAUGGAUUACCCUCUAUUACAACACCAGAGGCCACAAAACUACAGGAAGCAAAUUCUUCACUAUAAGAUAUUCUUCACAGCCUCUUUUAAUCAUGUAUACAUCCUCAUUCUACAUUAACUUUCAUACACAAAAACAAAUUAGAAUGAAAUUCAUUUUUGUACUUACAACCUGACAUCCUUAGAAAUGUGAAUCUUAUGCCAACUUAGAGCAAAAAUCAAAAUUGGAAGACUAUAGUAUAAGAAAAGACCAUGGCCUGUAAUCCCAGCACUUUGGGAGGUAAGGCAGGCAAAUCAUGAGGUCAGGAGUUUGUGACCAGCCUGGGCAACAUGGUGAAACCCCAUCUCUAGUAAAAUACAAAAAAAAAAAUAAGCCAAGUGUGGCGGUGUGCGCCUGUAGUCCCAGCUACUCGGGAGGCUGAGGCAGGAGAAUUGCUUGAACCCAGGAGGCGGAGGUUGCAGUGAGCCAAGAUCGCGCCACUGCAGUCCAGCCUGGGCAACAGAGUGAGACUCCAUCUCAAAAAAGAAAAGAAAAGAGAAGACCAUGAGGGGGAAGAUCAAAUAGAGUUGUAGAGACUUCUGGUGUGGAUAUGCAGACAUGAUUUAAUCCAUAGUCUAUGGUAAUCACCAUCUGUAAGUGGAGACCCCAGCCUACUUGACUUGGUGGUAGAAAUUCUUUUCACUGGCAGCGGCUUUCAUUUCUUUUUCCUGGAAAUUUUAUCUUUCUUUUCUGUUAUAGAGUAAAAUGGAAGCCUGCUAGCAGAACACAUCUAUCCACAUGACUCUGACAUAGUAGCCUGCAUUUCCCACCUUAUACCACCUUCCUUUAUGGGAGUUAUUUUUCAUUGCAUUCUGAAGACAAAAGACCUUUGGUGAUAAUCAGUAAAGAUCCUAACUUGGUGGUAGACAGUUUUCUACGGAACAUGCAGUUCUGACUCCAAUAAGCCACAAGGCAGUUCAAACAAAACACUUGGCUGCCCUUUGGGAGGGACCUGGUGGGCACAUCUUUCUCUUUUCCUUCACAUCUCAUUGCCUGUUGUCACUCAUGGAAUAUGUGCAUGGCAGGAUCAAGACACCACCGUCUGGUGUUCCUGCCGGCAGGGAAAAUGUUGGAUUUUGAGCCUAGAUUCCCAAUUUAUGUUAUUUUAUACCCCUCUACCAUUAUCUUUGUUUUAUUGCCUGGGGGAAAGCAGUGUUCACUAAGGAGGAGGUGGUUAUUGCAACUAUUUGAAUGUAAUCUGGGGCCAUUAGGAAUUCAUCCAUCUGUCAAGCCUGUGGAAGGAAGGAAUAUGAAUGGAGUACUAGUUCUGAUAGUGAAGUGUGCCUUAGAACAGAUGUUUGAAUUGACAAGUCUUCUCAGUGGUGUAACAUAUACCAGGGUAGCACUGGUACCAAGUGAGAAUGGGGCUUUGUCUUUGUAGCCUUUUUUCCCUUGUGGUUUGUUGCAGUGGUUUGAAUGGCAUGGUUUUUUAUUUAUUUAUUUAUUUAUUUUAAAGAGAAUUUAGCAAUUUAUGCAAUUUUUCUAGAAUUGAAUAUUUUGUACUUUGAUAAUAGCUCAUUUAUGGAGGGAAA